rnacentral:rRNA from 1 species
GACGAACGCUGGCGGCGUGCCUAAUACAUGCAAGUAGAACGCUGAAGGAGGAGCUUGCUUCUCUGGAUGAGUUGCGAACGGGUGAGUAACGCGUAGGUAACCUGCCUGGUAGCGGGGGAUAACUAUUGGAAACGAUAGCUAAUACCGCAUAAUAGUAGAUGUUGCAUGACAUUUGCCUAAAAGGUGCAAUUGCAUCACUACCAGAUGGACCUGCGUUGUAUUAGCUAGUUGGUGGGGUAUCGGCUCACCAAGGCGACGAUACAUAGCCGACCUGAGAGGGGGAUCGGCCACACUGGGACUGAGACACGGCCCAGACUCCUACGGGAGGCAGCAGUAGGGAAUCUUCGGCAAUGGACGGAAGUCUGACCGAGCAACGCCGCGUGAGUGAAGAAGGUUUUCGGAUCGUAAAGCUCUGUUGUAAGAGAAGAACGAGUGUGAGAGUGGAAAGUUCACACUGUGACGGUAUCUUACCAGAAAGGGACGGCUAACUACGUG